rnacentral:rRNA from 1 species
GUGAACCUUUACUAUAGCUUGACACUGAACAUUGAGCCUUGAUGUGUAGGAUAGGUGGGAGGCUUUGAAGUGUGGACGCCAGUCUGCAUGGAGCCGACCUUGAAAUACCACCCUUUAAUGUUUGAUGUUCUAACGUUGACCCGUAAUCCGGGUUGCGGACAGUGUCUGGUGGGUAGUUUGACUGGGGCGGUCUCCUCCUAAAGAGUAACGGAGGAGCACGAAGGUUGGCUAAUCCUGGUCGGACAUCAGGAGGUUAGUGCAAUGGCAUAAGCCAGCUUGACUGCGAGCGUGACGGCGCGAGCAGGUGCGAAAGCAGGUCAUAGUGAUCCGGUGGUUCUGAAUGGAAGGGCCAUCGCUCAACGGAUAAAAGGUACUCCGGGGAUAACAGGCUGAUACCGCCCAAGAGUUCAUAUCGACGGCGGUGUUUGGCACCUCGAUGUCGGCUCAUCACAUCCUGGGGCUGAAGUAGGUCCCAAGGGUAUGGCUGUUCGCCAUUUAAAGUGGUACGCGAGCUGGGUUUAGAACGUCGUGAGACAGUUCGGUCCCUAUCUGCCGUGGGCGCUGGAGAACUGAGGGGGGCUGCUCCUAGUACGAGAGGACCGGAGUGGACGCAUCACUGGUGUUCGGGUUGUCAUGCCAAUGGCACUGCCCGGUAGCUAAAUGCGGAAGAGAUAAGUGCUGAAAGCAUCUAAGCACGAAACUUGCC